rnacentral:rRNA from 4 species
AUGACCUCAAAUCAAGUAGGA